UACGUAGGGGGCAAGCGUUGUCCGGAUUUAUUGGGCGUAAAGCGCGUGUAAGUGGCCAAGUAGGUCCGCUGUGAAAACUUGAGGCUCAACCUCAAGCUGUCGGUGGAAACCCCUUGGCUAGAGUCCGGAAGAGGAGAGUGGAAUUCCUGGUGUAGCGGUGAAAUGCGCGAUAUCAGGAAGAACACCAAUGGCAAGGCAGCUCUCUGGGGAAG
rnacentral:rRNA from 1 species